rnacentral:rRNA from 2 species
UGAUGGGAGCUUGCUCCCUGAUGUUAGCGGCGGACGGGUGAGUAACACGUGGGCAACCUACCUGUAAGACUGGGAUAACUCCGGGAAACCGGGGCUAAUACCGGAUAACCCGUUCCUCCUCAUGGAGGGGCGGUAAAAGAUGGCUUCUUGCUAUCACUUACAGAUGGGCCCGCGGCGCAUUAGCUAGUUGGUAAGGUAAUGGCUUACCAAGGCGACGAUGCGUAGCCGACCUGAGAGGGUGAUCGGCCACACUGGGACUGAGACACGGCCCAGACUCCUACGGGAGGCAGCAGUAGGGAAUCUUCCGCAAUGGACGAAAGUCUGACGGAGCAACGCCGCGUGAGUGAUGAAGGUUUUCGGAUCGUAAAGCUCUGUUGUUAGGGAAGAACAAGUGCCGUUCGAAUAGGGCGGCACCUUGACGGUACCUAACCAGAAAGCCACGGCUAACUACGUGCCAGCAGCCGCGGUAAUACGUAGGUGGCAAGCGUUGUCCGGAAUUAUUGGGCGUAAAGCGCGCGCAGGCGGUCUUUUAAGUCUGAUGUGAAAGCCCACGGCUCAACCGUGGAGGGUCAUUGGAAACUGGGAGACUUGAGUACAGAAGAGGAGAGUGGAAUUCCACGUGUAGCGGUGAAAUGCGUAGAUAUGUGGAGGAACACCAGUGGCGAAGGCGACUCUCUGGUCUGUAACUGACGCUGAGGCGCGAAAGCGUGGGGAGCAAACAGGAUUAGAUACCCUGGUAGUCCACGCCGUAAACGAUGAGUGCUAGGUGUUAGGGGUUUCGAUGCCCUUAGUGCCGAAGUUAACACAUUAAGCACUCCGCCUGGGGAGUACGACCGCAAGGUUGAAACUCAAAGGAAUUGACGGGGGCCCGCACAAGCAGUGGAGCAUGUGGUUUAAUUCGAAGCAACGCGAAGAACCUUACCAGGUCUUGACAUCCUUUGACAACCCUAGAGAUAGGGCUUUCCCCUUCGGGGGACAAAGUGAC